GUUCACGGUCAUUAUGUCUGCUGCUCAUGUAGGCUAUUUUAAAAGACUGGAAACUCAUCAAACUCGCUUCAUGAGUAUGCUGAGAGUGGCUAACAUGUCAAUGUACAUGUGAAAGCAUUUAACAGUUAGAAUCAACACCUUCAUGCAGGUGUAAGAAUACGUCCAAGAUAAAUACACAACGCAGAGUUUGAGAGGAUGAGAGGACGAGAGGACUAAAAACAAAAUAUAACACUAAAAAUGGUCAAUAGGGAAUUGUCAAUGUAAAUAGGAGUUGGUUUUCAGUUCAACAGCCGUUUAGAAUCUGUGGAAUGUCACUCCUGAACUCAGAGCUUCGUUCUGUACAGUCCGGAGCAGGAUACUGGUUAUUUGGCCAUUGGCCCAGUCAUACUGCAAAGGACUUUUGAUUGGNNNNNNNNNNUUCCAUUGAUUUAUUUGAUACUUUGUGCUGUACAAUUAAUAACAGUUGUAAUAAAUGCUAUAAAACCCACCUUUUUAACACACUGUUGUCUUGCUUGACCCGCGGGCUGUGUUGCAUCUGCGUAUCAUACCUUCAACACUGUCACUUGCUUCCUCAACUCUUUUGGUUGCAUCCCCAUAGGAGAUCUGAUGGACCGUCCUGACCUUCGUCCGGUUCAACUUCCUUCACCCUGUUACUACAGGGCACUUUAACAACUCUGGAUCAUGAUCUCCACCACAAUCACAGCCCUGACCUUCGCCCGUCCUCACAAAUUAAAGCUGCCACCAACCUCCUGUGGUCCAUGCUACUUUUGACCAGGGCCCAACCUCCUGUGGUCCAUGCUACUUUUGACCAGGGCCCGUCCUCCCCAAUUAAAAGGUGCCACCAACCUCCUGUGGUCCAUGCUACUUUUGACCAGGGCCCGUCCUCCCCAAUUAAAAGGUGCCACCAACCUCCUGUGGUCCAUGCUACUUUUGACCAGGGCCCGUCCUCCCCAAUUAAAGGUGCCACCAACCUCCUGUGGUAGGGAGGUGUUCUUUGUAAAAAAUAAAUACAAAUAAAUAAGAACCAAUAGACUCUUUUCCCUUUCUCCAUUCAUUGUUCUGGUCAGGUGACAGGAAACUAACCCCACCUGCUCUUCUCUUCUCUUCUAGGUAUCUGACCUCAGCUUCCAUCGACAUCCCGGAGAUGACACCCUGAACCGAGNNNNNNNNNNNNNNNNNNNNNNNNNNNCUGUGUGUGUGUGUGUGUGUGACUGUGUGUGUGUGUGUGUGACUGUGUGUGUGUGUGUGCACCAGCGUCGUGUUUCUGCUCCAGGCCCUGAAUGUUUAGCUGAAAACGUCAGUGACUAUAUCUGUGUGUGAUCCUCACCAACAGCUUCAUAGUUCUCACACCUAGUCUAGAAAUGCUUGAUUAGUUUGUAACAAAACCCUCCACACACACACACACACACACACACACACACACACACACACACACGUUCCCGUACGCAGGGUGCUAAACCCCUCCGGAUGUUUUCCCACUGACACGAAUCAUGUUUUAAAAUAGAUCACCACAGGCAGGCUGUGGGAAUGUGUGAUUUAUGACGGACUAUGUUAUCUCCACUAUUAGCAUGUCGCUCAUACAGUCGGCAUAUACUGAGGAUAUGACUACGUUGUUGAUUUGAUGACAUAUGGCACGUCCCAAAUCACACCCUAUUCCCUAGUGGGCUACUUUUGACCAGGAACCUAAACGUCCCAAAAUCGCACCCUAUUCCCUAGUGUGCUACUUUUGACCAGGCCCUUCAUGUCUCAAAUCGCACCCUAUUCCCUAUGCACCUUCAAACGUAGUUUACUAUAGAGAAUAGGUUACCGUUCCAGACACAGACAUGUAGUAUACACUGGGUCGAAGUUGUCACAAGGUAGUUGUUGAGUUGAGUACGGUGCAGUAGGUCAUUUAAAGGGCCAGUGCGGUUCUCUGACCAGGGAUCACAAUAAUGAACCACACAUGGUUUUUGGUUUGGAAUGUUAGUGCAGUGAACAGAAAAAAAAACCCGGAAUAACUUUGACCUGUUGGAAACAUUUUUAUCAAAGGCGUAUUCUUCGUCUGACUUCGUCAAGUGGAAAAGAGAUGUUCAAGAAAGAAGGAUUUAAUGAUAAACAUUCACAUUUUACAAUUACAUCCUAUAAUAGAAUGUUCCUUUAUCAGAUUUUUAUACUAAUUAAAUAAACAUAUUUCCCUUGAGAGUGGGAAGUUUUGUUAUUCUGAAUAAUGACUAUUUAGUUAUUUUCAUCAUUGUAUGUAACCACUAUGGACCUGCACCAAGUCCACUCAUACCAAAACACUAAGAACUAUGGGACACAGUGUCUCUAUGCUUGGAACUGAACAUCAACAACCUCUUAAGGAUUGGACCCUUUUUUUUCUUAAAUUUUUCUCCUAAAAUGACAUACCCAAAUCUAACUGCCUGUAGCUCAGGACCUGAAGCAAGGAUAUGCAUAUUAUUGAUACCAUUUGAAAGGAAACACUUUGAAGUUUGUGGAAAUGUGAAAUUAAUGUAGGAUAAUAUAACACAUUAGAUCUGGGAAAAGAUCAUACAAAGAUAAAACAUGGCUAUUUUUUUUUUAACCAUCUUUGAAAUGCAAGAGAAAGGCCACCAUGUACUAUUCCAGUUUAGGCGCAAUUUAGAUUGUGGCCACUAGAUGGCAGCAACGUUUUAGACUGAUUCAAUGAAGCAUUGCAUUUCUGUUCAAAAUGUUGUAUCAAAUCUUGCCAAAUGUGUCUAAUUUGGUUUAUUAAUACAUUUUCAAGUACAUAACUGUGCACUCUCCUCAAACAAUAGCAUGGUAUCCUUUCACUGUAAUAGCUACUGUAAAUUGGACAGUGCAGUUAGAUUAACAAGAAUUUAAGCUUUCUGCCAAUAUCAGAUAUGUCUAUGUCCUGGAAAUGUUCUUGUUACUUACAACCUCAUGCUAAUCACAUUAGCGCACGUUAGCUCAACCGUCCCGGGGGGGUCACCGAUCCCAUAGAGGUUAAGGAGGCAGAUUGGGGAUAAGGCUCUGUAAUAGACUAGCGUCCCGUCCAGGCUGUGUACAUCAAGCUGACUCACACUUACUUGUCCAAAGCUUAUUACUUUGCUUUAGGACCUGUACAAUGAGUUCUGUGCAGCUGUCAGCUAUUCAGUCCAGAGUCCGAUGAGGAAGGAAGACAGGAAAGAAGGAAGGAAGGAAAGAAGGAAGGAAAGAAGGAAGGAAAGAAAGAAAGAAGGUUGGAACCAGGGCCUUGCUCUAGGGAGUUUUCCUAGCCACCGUGCUUCUACACUGUUUGGGGUUUCAGGCUGGGU
rnacentral:lncRNA from 13 species